UCGGUGGCAGUAAAGGCUUCAGCAUGAUNUAUGCCAGAACCAUAAGUCUCUAAGCCCCGACGAGUAGGGUGGCGUGCCGGUGAGCGGAGAAGGCCAAGACGUGAGUCAGGCUGGAGCCGCCGGUAUUGCAGAUCUUGGUGGUAGUAGCAAGUACUCUGGUGAACUAACCUGGAGCUGUGAGGUCUGGAUUAGGGUUCCAUGUCAACAGUGAUUGAACAUGGGUGAGUCGAACCUAAGCCAACUGUGAACGCAGUGACAUCCCGACAAAGGGGCUUUAGUCGCACACGCUCGAACGCUCUAAAGUAUAUCUCUCUCUAUAGAAUAGACACUAGUACACUACGCAGUGUGUGUCUAUGAUGGACGGACUGUUAAUCGCGCUUGCCUCCACAGAAAUGUGUUGGUGCGCAUGAUACGCUCUCAUUCGCGCUUUCCUCCACAGAAAUGUGUUGGUGCGCAUGAUCAAUCGCGCUUUCCUCCACACACAGAGAUGUGUGUGUUGGUGCGUCGGGACGGCUCUUUGAUACGCUNNNNNNNNNNNNNNNNNNNGACGGAACGGAUAAGUGGUGCAUGUACCAGAGAGAGAUAGAAAUAGAGCUUAGGGCACGCGAUGCCUCCUGAGUUGGUUCUUCAUGUCCGGCGAAAGGGAAUGGGGACUUUGUUCCUUGACCGGUCUCGGCACCCUCGAUAGGCUCUGCCAAUCAAUGGUCCAUGCAAAUGGAACCAGGCUGCAGCCGCCGGCAGUCGCCCGAGGAAGAGUUUUCUUUUCUGCUUAACGCACGAGAUCAUCCCUGGAAACAGUUCGGCUGGCGAAAGGGUGCCCCGUUGCGGCAGAGCGCCACGACUGUCGUGCGCGUCUCGGUGUACCUGCCGGUCCGUGAAGACGUGGUCGAGGGGAUUGCUUGUAUCAACGAAACGCCCGACAAGUUCGGGACGGACCGUACCCUAUAUCCGCAUCUGGUCUCCAAGGUUAGUAGCCUCUGCAGAGUCAGACACAUGUAGGUAAGGGAAGUCGGCAAAUUCGAUCCGUAACUUCGGGAAAAGGAUUGGCUCUGAGGGCCGAGCUGGGCCGGGCCUUGCCUGCAAAGCAGUACCUAUAGUGACCGGAGUUUCAGGGGUGCGAGGGGCUCUAGUAGCUGUCGGCGUCUCGGCGUCGGCACGAACGGGUCUACCGCUCCGCUCCAACCACGAACGGCUGUGACGGCAAGGGCUCUGGGCGGGAGCGAUCGUGCCGUUUGCCCCUCCUCCAGCUCGUCUGGGUGGUGGUGGCGGCGGUGCUCCGUCUGACCCAUACGGCUCCAGCGGCUAGCGGCUAACUCAGAACUGUCAUGGACCAAGGGAAUCCGACUGUCUAAUUAAAACAAAGCGUCGUGACGGCCCCUGUUGGGUG
rnacentral:rRNA from 1 species